CGCGUAGGCGGCACCAUCAGUCAGGCGUGAAAUUCCCGGGCUCAACCUGGGGACUGCGCUUGAUACAGUGGAGCUAGAGGAUGGAAGAGGCUCGCGGAAUUCCCAGUGUAGAGGUGAAAUUCGUAGAUAUUGGGAAGAACACCGGUGGCGAAGGCGGCGAGCUGGUCCAUUACUGACGCUGAGGCGCGACAGCGUGGGGAGCAAACA
rnacentral:rRNA from 1 species